GACCAAAGGGGGCGAGCGAAAGCGGCUCCCGCUGAAGGAUGGGCCUGCGGCUGAUUAGCUAGUUGGUGGGGUAGCGGCCUACCAAGGCGACGAUCAGUAGCCGACCUGAGAGGGUGACCGGCCACACUGGGACUGAGACACGGCCCAGACUCCUACGGGAGGCAGCAGUGGGGAAUAUUGCGCAAUGGGCGAAAGCCUGACGCAGCGACGCCGCGUGGGUGAUGAAGGCCUUCGGGUCGUAAAACCCUGUCGGGUGGAACGAAUUCCGCCUCGCUAAUACCGAGGCGGCUUGACGGUACCACCGAAGGAAGCCCCGGCUAACUACGUGCCAGCAGCCGCGGUAAUACGUAGGGGGCGAGCGUUGUUCGGAUUUACUGGGCGUAAAGAGCGCGUAGGCGGUUCGAUAAGUCGGAGGUGAAAUCCCUCGGCUCAACCGAGGACCCGCGUCCGAUACUGUCGAACUUGAGUGCAGGAGAGGAGAGCGGAAUUCCCAAUGUAGCGGUGAAAUGCGUAGAUAUUGGGAGGAACACCGGUGGCGAAGGCGGCUCUCUGGACUGUCACUGACGCUGAGGCGCGAAAGCUAGGGGAGCAAACGGGAUUAGAUACCCCGGUAGUCCUAGCCGUAAACGAUGGGCACUAGGUGUGGGAGGUAUCGACCCCUUCCGUGCCGCAGCUAACGCAUUAAGUGCCCCGCCUGGGGAGUACGGCCGCAAGGCUGAAACUCAAAGGAAUUGACGGGGGCCCGCACAAGCGGUAGAGCAUGUGGUUUAAUUCGACGCAACGCGAAGAACCUUACCAGGGCUUGACAUCCCGCGAACCC
rnacentral:rRNA from 1 species